rnacentral:lncRNA from 1 species
UUCCUUUUGCCCUCCUAUGCUCUUUUAACUAUAAAACAUGAAAUUAAAGCUUUAAGAGCAUCGAAUUCACCAAUUCUAAUAAGAAAUCAUCCAUAAAAUGCGUUAAACAUGGGGUAAAAAUAUGUAUAAAUUACGGUUUAUCAAUCAUCUAAACAUUUAUUCAGACUUAGCAGAAAUUUAAAAGUUCUUUUUUGCUCCACUAUCUUACGAUAUAAAGCAUUGACCUGAGACACUUCCUCUCAUAAAACUUAAACAUAUCUAGUUGUUGCCAAUGAUGAAUUAGAACAUUAAUUAGGCCUCCCAUAUUUCUUGAGUCAUUUCAUAUAGGAGAAAGUUUUCACCAAUAUCCACAUUCAUAGAGUUUAUGAGACAUGACAUGAUUUGAUGAUUUUUGGCCUUCCAAUUCUUGUAGUUCUGAUAAGUUUUCUUAGGAAUUGGAACUUCUCCAGUCAGGUAAUCUUCUUUUUCUCUACCACAUAUGAACAUUCAGAUAGAUUGGAACCAUUAGAGAUAUUUUUGUCUAUUGGGUUUAUGACUUGUGAUGAGAAGAAACGGAAUAUCAAAGGUUCUAGAAUUUCCAGAACUAGGUUGGACUAUAUUUGGGUUGGAAGGAGAAGAUGUCCCAGAGACAGAACUGACUACUUCAUUCGCCAUUCCAAAUUUUGUUUUUCAAAGAGAAGAAAAAAAUUAAAAUUGCUAAAAAAAAUUUGAGAAUUUUGGGAUGAAAGGGCGACGAUUAAGGUUUUUUUUUUCCGAAUAUCCUAACUUCUGAUACCAUGAAGAUUUUUAAUGAAUUAAUUUUCUAUAUUAAAUCAGAAUAGGCACAUGAUAUAUAUACACUUAUAAACAAAUAAAAAGUAAACUACCUACUAUAAAAUAGUAAUACUAAAACAAAAUAAAAACUAAUUAGUUUCUUGAUUCCCUAAUAUCUACCAAAUAGGAAACCAACUCCUAACUUUGAAGACUAAAUAUUCGACACAAGCUUUUUUUAAAAGUUAUGUCUAUUUGAAUAUGUUUGUUAAAAUGUAAAUCAUUAUUAUAUUUAUAUCAAAAAUAUUUUUUAUAAAAAGAUUAUAUAUGUAAAUAAAGCUUAAUAGGUAAGCUCAUUUAUCCAAUGGGCUAAGCUACCUACCCGAAAAAUGAGAGGAUUUGGAUAAAAAUACGAUGCCCAGAAAUGAGCUUGGGUAAAAUUUAAAGCCUAUUUUCUGUAUGGGUUAGGCAUUGGGCAAGAUUUUUUUGGCUCGAGCCUUGCCCAACCCGAAUAUAUUAUGCUAUAAAAAAUAUUAUAUUAAUUAUAUAUAUUAAAUAAAAAUUAUAUACAGUUAUAUUUAUAUUUAUAUUAAAUCACUAAUCCAAUAACAAUUAAAUCAAUUACCCAAAACCUAAACAAAAAAACCUACCUAACUAAAUAACCUAACCCAAAAUAUAAAAUUUUUAAAAUUAUAUUUAAUACAAUAAAAAUUUUAUUUUAUUUAUUGUGUUUUUUAAUUUAAUAAAAUAUUUAUUAUAUUUAUGAUAGUAUUUUUAAAAUAAAUACUUUUUAAUUUUUUUUACUGUGUUAGAAAACUUUUAUUUUAGCAUUUUUAGUGCAUUUUGUGUAUUAUAUAUAUUUUUAAAAUUAUUAUUAAAUCAGGACUAAUCUAAAAAAGUCAAGUAUAGGCGGGUUGGAUUAGGCCUGCUUGGGCAAAAAAGUAAGCCCAUUUUUUGAGUUAGGCCGAGCUUGGAAAUUGGUCUAGAUACCUUGCAUGGACCCAACCCAAACAUAAUACGACUUAUCCUAUGAGCACGUCUACACCCAAUUCAAUUAUCUAAGUUAUAAAGAAUUGUAUAUUUAAAAUUUUAUACUUUAUAUUUGUGAGCAAUGUGGGAUUACUAACAUUGCAAACUACUAACACUACUAACAAUUUGACCAUCUCUAAGUUCAUAGCGGCUUCCAACGAGGCCCAGUCACAAUAAUCCAAGAUAGGGAAUUGACGCUUAAAUGAAAAGAGCCCAUCAAUGCUCCCUUUUGCCGUGUAAAGCUUCUUGGGAAAAGUAAUGCCAUGCUCUUGUAAUGUAAUACUAUCAGAACACCAAAUAAAUGCAUCAAUUCGAAAAAUAUUUGGUACUCUACUAGUGAAAUUUAAAAGUUCCACAAGUAGGAUUUGAGUGAUGACAAAUGUAUGUAGGGUAUAUUAAAAAAUUUAAAAAGAAAUAUAUAAAAUAAAAGAGAAACAUGACAAAUUUAUUACUCUAUCUAUAGAGUUAAAAAAGUUCACUACCAGUCUACUCGAUGGAAGAAGUGCCACCAGAAGUAGAACCCCUCAUUACGAAAGAUAAAAAGGGUAUACAGAGACAAUAGUUGGAACUCUGUAGUUCGUUGAGUCUAGAGGAUGUUUAAAGGGGUAUAAUCUCUGAAGAACUUAGGAGGUUAAGACAACUGGAGGUUCUGAACGAUGAAUUGAACAAGGAAGAAAGAUUAGCAAGUUUGCUCAAGAAC